GGGCCGGCUUCAGCAGCACAUAUGCUAAAAUCAGAACGAUUGAAGAUGAGCAUGGUACCUGUGCAAGGAUGACAUGCAAAUUUAUGAAGCGUUCCGUAUUUUU
ensembl:snRNA U6 U6 spliceosomal RNA